rnacentral:sRNA from 1 species
UGCGGAGGAUCAUUACCGAACUGUCAACACGAGUUGUUGCUGGUCCUCAAACAGGGGACAUGUGCACGCUCUGUUUACACAUCCACUCACACCUGUGCACCCUCCAUAGUUCUGCAGCCUAGGGGCUCUGUCUCCCUGCCGUGGUUCUAUGUAUUUACACACACACUGUGGUAAAGUCUCAUGGAAUGCAUACCGCGUUUAACGCAAUAUAAUACAACUUUCAGCAACGGAUCUCUUGGCUCUCGCAUCGAUGAAGAACGCAGCGAAAUGCGAUAAGUAAUGUGAAUUGCAGAAUUCAGUGAAUCAUCGAAUCUUUGAACGCACCUUGCGCCCUUUGGCUAUUCCGAAGGGCAUGCCUGUUUGAGUAUCAUGAACACCUCAACUCUCAUGGCUUUGCCGUGAUGAGCUUGGACUUUGGGGGUCUUGCUGGCCUGUGGGUCGGCUCCUCUCAAAUGAAUUAGCUUGCCAGUGUUUGGUGGCAUCACGGGUGUGAUAACUAUCUACGCUUGUGGUUUUCCACCAGGUAACCUUCAGUGAUGAAGGUUCGCUGGGGCUCAUAAAUGUCUCUCCUCAGCGAGGACAGCUCUUUGAACGUUUGAUCUCAAAUCAGGUAGGACUACCCGCUGAACUUAAGCAUAUCA